UCCCUCUUAGCUCAGUUGGUAGAGCGCGUCACUAGUAUGGUAGAUUUCAAGUACGCUGUUGAUGACGAGGUCAGUCGUUCAAAUCGGCUAGCGGAAU